GUGCGUAACACGUGGGUGACGUGCCCCGAAGUGUGGAAUAACAGCUCGAAAGAGCUGCUAAUACCGCAUGUGGUCUUGGUGCUUAGAAAGCCAAGUCUAAAGUCUCCUUCGGGAGGCGCUUCGGGAGCGGCCUGCGGUCCAUCAGCUAGUUGGUAGGGUAAUGGCCUACCAAGGCGACGACGGAUAGGGGACCUGAGAGGGUGACCCCCCACACUGGCACUGACACACGGGCCAGACGCCUACGGGUGGCAGCAGUAAGGAAUAUUGCUCAAUGGGCGAAAGCCUGAAGCAGCAACGCCGCGUGCACGAUGAAGGCCUUCGGGUCGUAAAGUGCUUUUCCGGGAGAUGAGGAAGGACAGUAUCCCGGGAAUAAGGUACGGCUAACUACGUGCCAGCAGCCGCGGUAAAACGUAGGUACCGAGCGUUAUCCGGAUUCACUGGGCGUAAAGCGCGUGCAGGUGGUUUGGUAAGUCGGGCAUGAAAACUCUUGGCUCAACUGAGAGACGCUGUCCGAUACUGUCGAACUUGAGGGUGUGAGAGGGA
rnacentral:rRNA from 1 species